rfam:Triticum aestivum genome assembly, contig: Triticum_aestivum_CS42_TGACv1_scaffold_289336_4AL
UGCUCAAUGAUUAAGCCAUGUAGAUUCAUGGUGAUAUACGCUAUUCUGAGUCUUUAGGAUGUCAUCACAUAUUAUGAGAACA